rnacentral:rRNA from 1 species
AUAGUUUGAUGAUGGCUCAGAACGAACGUUAGCGGCGCGCCUAAUACAUGCAAGUCGAACGAGAAAGGGCUUUCGAGCCCCGGUAAAGUGGCGCACGGGUGAGUAACACGUAGAUAACCAACCCUUGGGUGGGGGAUAACGUUCCGAAAGGAGCGCUAAUACCGCGUAAGACCACGACCUGAAAUGGUUGGGGUCAAAGUGGGCCUCAUCAUGAAAGCUCACGCCUAGGGACGGGUCUGCGGCCCAUCAGGUAGUUGGCAGGGUAAUGGCCUACCAAGCCUUAGACGGGUAGCUGGUCUGAGAGGAUGAUCAGCCACACUGGAACUGAGACACGGUCCAGACUCCUACGGGAGGCAGCAGUAGGGAAUCUUGCGCAAUGGGCGAAAGCCUGACGCAGCGACGCCGCGUGAGUGAUGAAGGCCUUAGGGUUGUAAAGCUCUGUGGAGAGGGACGAAUAAGGACUGGUGAAUAGCCAGCCUGAUGACGGUACCUCAUUAGCAAGCACCGGCUAACUCUGUGCCAGCAGCCGCGGUAAGACAGAGGGUGCAAACGUUGUUCGGAAUUACUGGGCGUAAAGCGCGUGUAGGCGGCCGUGCAAGUCGGAUGUGAAAUCCCGGGGCUCAACCUCGGAAGUGCAUUCGAAACUGCUCGGCUGGAGUCUCGGAGAGGGAAGCGGAAUUCUGGGUGUAGAGGUGAAAUUCGUAGAUAUCCAGAGGAACACCGGUGGCGAAGGCGGCUUCC